UGAGUCACAUCCAGGCCACAGGUG
rnacentral:misc_RNA from 1 species